CCUACGGGAGGCAGCAGUGAGGAAUAUUGGACAAUGGGCGCAAGCCUGAUCCAGCCAUGCCGCGUGCAGGAUGACGGUCCUAUGGAUUGUAAACUGCUUUUGUACGAGAAGAAACACUGAUUCGUGAAUCAGCUUGACGGUAUCGUAAGAAUAAGGAUCGGCUAACUCCGUGCCAGCAGCCGCGGUAAUACGGAGGAUCCAAGCGUUAUCCGGAAUUAUUGGGUUUAAAGGGUCCGUAGGCGGUUUAGUAAGUCAGUGGUGAAAGCCCAUCGCUCAACGGUGGAACGGCCAUUGAUACUGCUGAACUUGAAUUAUUAGGAAGUAACUAGAAUAUGUAGUGUAGCGGUGAAAUGCUUAGAGAUUACAUGGAAUACCAAUUGCGAAGGCAGGUUACUACUAAUUGAUUGACGCUGAUGGACGAAAGCGUGGGGAGCGAACAGGAUUAGAUACCCUUGUAGUC
rnacentral:rRNA from 1 species